UGGCUCAGAGGUAAAGAACACAGACUGC
rnacentral:piRNA from 1 species